AUUUAAAUUUAUACUACGGGUGAAAUUUUAGAAUUGACUGUUUGGGUUGAUAAGAAUUUGCGAUAGAAGUAGGAGUUAAAUCCUAGAAUGACAAUCAAAAUAUAAUUGUACAAUUAAAUACUACCGCGAGUGAAAUCCUAGAAUUGACGAGUUUGAAUCGAUAUUAAUAUGGGAUGGUGUACUACGGAUGAUAUUUUAGAAUUGACUGGUUUGGGUUGAUAAUAAUUUACGAUAGAAUUAGGAGUGAAAUUCUAGAAUGACAAUUAAAAUAUAAUUAUACAAUUAAAUACCAUCACGGAUGAAAUCCUAGAAUUGACGGGUUUGAUUCGAUACUAAUAUGGGAUGGUGUACUACGGGUGAUAUUUUAGAAUUGACUGGUUUGGGUUGAUAAUAAUUUGCGAUAGAAUUAGGAGUGAAAUCCUAGAAUGACAAUUAAAAUAUAAUUAUACAAUUAAAUACUACCACGGGUGAAAUCCUAUAAUUGACGGGUUUGAUUCGAUAUUAAUAUAGGAUGGUGUACUACGGGUGAAAUCCGAGAAACAACAAUCAAAAUACAAUUAUACAAUAUUAAACAUUUAACAAAAUAAACAAAUACAACUGAAAACUUUAAAAUUUGAGUUAUAAAAUUUUUUUUCGCGGUGAAUUAUACAUUUAAAUCAAACAAUAGCAUAAAUUUAUUAAAUCAUCCUAAAAAAUAUUCAAUUAUUUUUUAUUUAAUAAAAAUAUAGGCCCGCGGUAUAUCGCGGGUUAAUAUCUAGUUUAUGAGAUUUUCAUAGUAUACUUGAAAGUAUUUAUUUGAAUAUUAAAGUUUGGAGAUUUUUGUUUCAGAUACUUUUAAGAAAUAAGAAUCUUUUUUCCUAACCACCUUAUAUGAAAACAGAGAGGGUCAUGUCGA
rnacentral:sRNA from 1 species